rnacentral:lncRNA from 1 species
UGAUGCUAGAGUAGAACAGGUCUGGACCUUGUUAAUGUAACUGCUGCCAGCUUUCCUGUAAGGAUCCCCAUCCAGGUACCAGCAAAGAACCUGUGUUCCCAGGACAUUUGGGGGGUGGGGGUGGGGUUGGAAUCAGAGGGCUGCUGGGGUUUGAGUGGGAAGCUGAAGUGCCUGGCAAUAUUGAAGCCCUAGCAUCUGGGGCUGCUGCUUGGGGGUCACAUUUCAAACUCUAGCCCAGCCUGAGAGCCCUCUAGCGUCUAGCGUGGGGUAGGGAGGGCGGGGCGGGGACACGCCGGAAUGACAGCAGAGUUCUUCAUAAGGGACAGCUGGAGCUGGGCUGUGAGGACCAGAAAGUGGAGAAGGUUGCUAGGGGAACGCUAGAGCAAGACUUGGAAGGGGCUGGAAAGCUGAAGGAAAACUCAAGCUCUACAUCGCCCCCCUGUGGGAUCUAGGAAAAGUGCAGGCCUCCGGUUUCUUUACUCAUCUCAAGGUGGUGAGAGGCCUUGCCUGGAAGAAGAGCAGGUUACACCAAGAUGGGGAAUGGAGUAGUGUGCAGCUGCCACCAGCCAGGCGGAGACUUUAGGAUUCACUUCUGGACAGGGACAGGGAAAACAUUUUCCUUUCAAUGCCUCGAGGCCCUUCAGCAACUGUAGGAGCGGGCGUGGUGUCGUCGCUACUGUCAAAUCCUGGACCCGGCAGCCGACUUUUUCCUGACUUGGACAUCAGCAGGUAAGUCAGGGGACCCCGGACCCUACCCAAGGGACAGGCGUGCACAGGCCUUGUGAAGAAAGAUGGUUUGGAAGAAACGAACCCCGUGAGGUUCCUGUGAUGGCUUUAGGGUUGCAGAAGGAUCCUUUCCAUCAGAGGAAGUUACAAAAGCUUGCUGCAUACCGGAAGCAAGGGAAGUUUCAAGACACACAGUAAAGUUUGCUUCAGUCCAGGGAUCACAGUGCACAAAACCAGAGCAUACUUCUCUCUGAGCUCUCCGUGAUGUUGAAAAAGAAGCUUCUUCAAGGAUGACCAAAUGCUUACCCCGCCUUGUGCCCAGCUCAGUGCAGACAGAAGUCACUACACUGAACGAGAACUACAACCAGGAAGCAGUCUCCACCCUGAGAAGCAGCCAUUAGUACACAGAGGGUAUGCUCACAUAAAAGAAGAAAAACUUUCCUUUGUGGGGAUAUAUUUUUACUGAAAAAUCUUUCUCGCCAACAUGCAUGAGAAGCAUUGGGUUGAUCAGAUGUGCCACCUUACUGAUUGAUGCCUGAUGGACAUAGUAAAGUUGACCCAGAAUCAUGUCUCCUAUGGACUAUGUGGGAAGAGUCUCCUGGACACAGACUUUUUUGGCAGCAAGGUAGAUUCCAUGGACACGGGGCCAUCCACAGGAACACAAACAACCCAUCAGCUGCCAAACUGCUGAAGAAAAGUGACUCCCCUCCUCCAGCAGGCGUAAGUUGCCAGUGGCUAAGAGUGGAACUGCCUGAGUCCCCACCUCCAUCGAUGCUGCAAAGUGCGUGCCUCGACUUUGUGCAGGUACUCAUGGCUGUUCUGGGUCUGUGAGUGAGAUAGCCACCUCACUGAUGGUCACAGAUGGUGACAUUUUCAUAAUUCCUCCUCAUCUCACGUUCUUUUCUUCUGGAAUGUUCCCUGAGCCUUGCGAGGGAUAGUUAACAUAGACGUCCCAUUUGGGAAUGAAUCCUCACAGUUUCUUGGUGGUGGUGGUAGUGGGGUGUUGAGACAGGGUUUCUUUAUUAUGUAACUUUGACUGUCCUAGAACUCACUAUGUAGACCAGGCUGGCCUUGAACUCACAGAGAUCCACCUGUCUCUGCCUCCCAAGUGCUGGGAUUAAAGGCGUGCACCACCAAGCCAGAACCUCAAUCAUUUCUUAUUCUCAGCACUUUAGUCAGCUACGAGUCUCAGCAUUAACUGCUUCCCACCGAAAAAAAAAAAAAAAAAAGAAGCUUGUCAGACCAAGGUUGAAAAAAAGCAUCAAUUUGGGGGGUCCUCAUAGAAACACGCAGAAGGCAGCUCAACAAUGGCGCACAUCCCAUGGCAUGCAUCAAACGGCGUCUGUCCGUUUUGUUGCGUCCUUUGUUGCCAUCCUCGUUCCUCUCACGUCUAGGCAGGGGAGU